ACGCCAAACCUCGUCGUAAAAUCUUGAUAAAGCUAUCUACGCGUCAGUAGAGCGGAAUGCCACCACUCUUUUUCCCUCCUUCAUUUCUCUUAUUUUAAAAAACAGGACUGCAAACGACACCAGCACCUAUUUUGCACAAAAAAAUAGGGCCUCUGCCUACUACCACUUUUUGUCGCAUGGAAGACGAAAUAACGCCCUCCUACUCAUCUAAAAUAGAACGUAAACAGCGCCUAGCUGCCAUUGAAGAAAAACGCCGUAAACUCGCCGAACGAAAAAAUAUUCUUCUCUCAUCUCAAGCUCCCCCUCAGGCCAAUCCUCAUAUCCCCGAAGCCUCUUGGAAAAACAUUGCUCUGCAAAUCGAAUGCUUACUGUCAAAAAGCAGCGGCGUUCUUGUCGAACAAAGCGGCGAAUACGACUCGGUCCCUCAGGCCUCUGCCGAACCUCUAGAACUACGCGCGGAAGAUUCGCGCAAUUUCCUCACUAAGGAACUGCCACUAUUUUCAAAAAGCUUGCAAAUCAAUCAACAUUCACCAGCUACAACUGACGAUAUAGCAAACACCAGUUCUCAUACUUCUCGAAAACCCCUCGUACCAACACCCAUAGCAUACCCAGACGUUGCCACCGAUGUGAAGGAGACACCAAAUCUACUCGAAACCAUUGCGGACAGCCCAUGCAAUUCGUAUUAUUCAUAUCUAGUCUCACCACCUAAUCCCAGAUCCCUUCAAAGCCCAGAAAAAUACCAAACUGAUGCAGGUACUAUCAAACCACAACGCUUCUUGCAUCGAGCGGACACCUUGAACAAUUUAUCGCCACUCGACAAGCACUACAACUCCACCGAUACCAAACCUUCGCCCUUAUCGCCUGGAAUUGCGAAAGCCACUCUCUCGCAGGGGCUAGUCCGCGUGCUGACCUGCUACGACAAAAAAUCGUGCGAAAACGUCCAAAUAAACAAUGUGGACUGGCAUCCUUUUGAAAAACACAAAAUACUGUCGGUCGGUCGUAGCGCCGCCAAAAAUUCUCUAAACUCCCUUUUUGAGUGGAACUUGGAGUACGGCGGAAAAGUCGAGAGCAAGUUUACCAGCAACAUCUGGUCCCAAAUUUCUGUAGCUAAAUACUGGACGUACGAACACAGCCCAUACCAAUCUGGCCAAAGCGGAGAAAGGCUUAUCAUCGGUGGCAGUUGUACAGGACAAAUUAUGCUGUGGGACACCAGAGCAAAUAACGGCUCUGAGCCUUUGAUAACCGUACUAAAUACUAUGCCAAACUUGAGCCACAGACGCUCGCCACAUCAGCAUUCAAUCUGUGCUAUCGAAAUUUUAAAUAGCCGUCACUUUGCUUCAGUGGACUCGUCUGGAACGCUGGCAUUUUGGGAUAUUUACAACUUAAAACACCCAAUAGAAACGUUAAACUUGGCGUGGAUGAAUGUACCGUACCUGCCAAAUAUGGCAUCUUCUAUUGUACUGCCAGAUAGUUCUUCUUACACGUCAGACAACAACUCGAUCGUAUCACCGCACCGACGGGAUAAGCAGGAUCACUCUGUGACGGUCACAGAUAUUAGCUUCUUCAACGAAAACAUCUUUUACGUUGCCUCCGAAGACGGAACACUUUAUUCUGGACAACGCUAUGGAGAACACAAAGGCCUUAAAAAUAGCUACAACUACCAUCACGCUGCCUUGUCAACUGUACAAGUACACCAUUCUUUCAAUCUAACCUCUACCGGAUCCCAGAAAAUUCAACGAACGCAUAGCUCGCCCCUACGGACUGCAGAAUUUGCACACUCUGUACCUCUUCAACACAGCAUUGACGAUUUGAUCCUGACCUCUUCUUUUGAUUGGACCAUUUGCCUGUGGAAUCUGAAAUUGGACCAUCACCCACUUGCCACCUUCGAGCUCUCGGAUUAUGUCACCGACGUGACUUGGUCUAAGCAUCACCCAUCCCUGUUUGCAGCAGUGGACUCGACAGGCACUCUGUCUAUUUGGGACCUGAACGACAAAGAGUACCACAUUCCCAAAUUUUCGAAUUCUCACGCCUCUCCACGCGCCCUCUACAAGGUCAUAUGGUCUCCCCACCAACCAGACCUAAUCGCAGCUGCCCAUCUGAACGGCGAACUCGAAGUCUACAAAAUGGACGCAGGCAUAGCAACUCCCAACACAGACACAUGGGAUGCACUCCAGCACUCUAUCAGCCGUCUUUACCAGUUAUCGAACGAGCACAAAAAAAACAAAAUUUCGACCUCUGGCAAUCCGCUAUCGAAUGUGUAAACUCUUGACAACUACAAAAAUUCAUGCUAACUGACCGUUUUUAUCAUUAACGGAAAACACAAUUUCUUCAAGGACAUCAAUUCUCUUGGUUCUUUUAUAAACAAAACUUCUUCUGUCGUCACAGGCUGGAUCACCACUCUUUUGCACCUCUCAGUCAGAAAUGCGCUAUGUCGAAAGAAACUCUUAGCUCCGAUACUCCAGAAGGCCAAAGAUGUGGCGGUGACUUGCUCAUUUCAUCCGGUCCGGUUGGCUUCUCCUCGUCCUUCUACGAAAACGAAUACCUCACCUCUUCUUCAGACUAUCUCGAAGACGAACGGCACCUGCAGACCGGCUUCUGCGCUGAAUUAAACAAGGACAGUCACACCUGUAUUCCUGUGACUCCAUAUGAUUCUGUAAAUAAGCAUUGCAACAAAGAGCACGACAUCCACAUCCAAGAGUCCUUCAAAAUGCCGCCGCCCCCUUCCUCAUGCCUGUCUAUAGAUGGCGACAGAAAACUGCACAUUCAAAAUUGGAAUUCUGAAGACCCAAAUGUAUACAAUCCUACUAUACUCCUUUUAGACAUAGUUACGCACCUGAGGAGCCUUGAUAAGGACGUCAAGAUGCUUAAGAAAAAUCAAAAAAUGCUGGGGUUGCCCGACUACGACCAGUUGGACGCGUCAGACAAAAUACUCCAGAAAAAACUCACGUCAUCCAUGCUGACAAAGGAAUUCAAGUGGGGGUUCGCUGUACCAUGGAUACUUCUGAUGCUUCUUGCAGUCAAGGUAUUGUGGUCCUUUUUAAUUACCCCAAGCGAAUGCAUUCCAAGUUACCCCGCAUGAAAAAAAGAGACCAAAACAAAUUUCGAGCAGAAGAACGAACAGAGGUAGCCCAAUUUAGUCCACCUCUUUCGAUACAAUGGACUGAGUUCGCGCGCGAUGGGAGCAGCUUAUCACGCUAUAAAAUAUGCUCGGCAUGCACACAUAGAUGAUUGAUUAUGCACGCACAAUCUUUUUUUUCAAUAUACACAGUGUACGGAUCGAAA